rnacentral:lncRNA from 1 species
CGCACACGCCCGCAGGCAGGUGGGUGAUGGAUGCAGGGUGUGCAGGAGCCACGUAGGCAAGUUCUCUUCCUCCUGGCCACUUAGGUUUGAUUUGAAGGUUGGUUUCAGCCUGGCUGAGCCGGCCCAGGGCCCAGGCACCUCACAAGCAUCAUCUCCCAUCAAACAGCAUGAAUAAUUUAGUCUCUAAUUAAAAGUGAGGUCAAGCCAUGAAAAAUGGCUGGAUGUCCGGUGACACCAUGAUGCAUUAAAUUGCUGGCAGAGCUGAGGCAGGCGGGCAGGAAGCUCUGGUGUCAGCAUGGAGGCAGCGUGGUGGGGCACCCUGGGAGGAGGGUCUCCAAGUAAGGGCGAGGUUGCUGGGCAGACCCAGGGACACCCCCUUCCUGCCACCAUUGUCACCUGAGGGGCUCCCUGCCCUCCAACCACCCCCUUGCCCUCUUGCUUUCCCCAAACACACCAGAUCCAUCCUGCUGUGGGUCUGUGCAUGUGUUCUUUCUGGAAUAUUCUUCCCCCAAUACCUGGUUGGCUUCCUUCCUUGCUUUAUUCAGAUCUUGCUCAAAUGUCACCUUGCCUGUCCACACUGGCUAUGAUGCCAUCUGCCCACCCCACUGGCCCGUUUUCUUUGUCCCACUCCCUGCCUGGGUCUCUGGGCAGUACCUCUCACUGCUCGGUGUUCUAGUUUAUACUGAGUUGUCUAUCUCUCCAACUAGAGGGCCAAGGUCCCACGUGUCCCCAGCACCAAGGACAGCACCCAGCACACAGCCGGUGCAGUGGAGGCUGAGCACCACAGGGAUGUCCCUCCAGCCCAGAGCCCCCUGGAAACAGAGACAGAUGAGGGGCAGAGCUGAACCGCCAGCUUAUCUGCUUCUGUGUUCUCUCCCUCUCUCCUCUUGGCUGCCGGGACCCUCUUCGGCCAUUGAGCGAAACCAUCUGCCACCAGAGCCGUGAGUCUCCGGCAGAAGCCGCGGCGACAAGCUCGAGAUGUGCGGGUUGUAGUUAUCAGCAGAAGCAACAUCUGCCCGCCCGGCCGCCAACAAUGGUAGGCCAUUUAGCCCGUCCCCUCCUCCCCUGAGCUGCAGACAACAGCUCCCAGUAUUAUAUUUUCCCACUCAAUUAGCACCAUCAUCCUGCUGAAAGAGAGGCCAAUUUACCUAUAAUGACAUCAUUGUUAGGGAAGUGGCGGCUGGGCUGUCACCA